GGGGAUUUAGCUCAGUGGCGUAAGCACCUGCCUUGCAAGCAGUUAGUCAUGAAUUCAAUCCCCG
rfam:Cavia porcellus supercont2_34 genomic scaffold, whole genome shotgun sequence.